CGACCUCGGAUCAGGCGUGAUUACCCGCUGAACUUAAGCAUAUCACUAAGCGGAGGAAAAGAAAC
rnacentral:rRNA from 1 species